rnacentral:tRNA from 4 species
GGGGAUGUAGCUCAGUUGGCUAGAGCGCUUGACUGGCAGUCAAGAGGUCGUGGGUUCGAAUCCCAUCUUCUCCACCA